rnacentral:misc_RNA from 1 species
GAUGAAGCGUAGCGAAAUGCGAUAAGUAGUGUGAAUUGCAGAAUUCAGUGAAUCAUCGAAUCUUUGAACGCACAUUGCGCCCCUUGGUAUCCCGAGGGGCAUGCCUGUUCGAGCGUCAUUUCACCACUCAAGCCUGGCUUGGUGUUGGGCGACGUCCUCUUUGGGGACGCGCCUCGAAACGCUCGGCGGCGUGGCACCGGCUUUAAGCGUAGCAGAAUCUUUCGCUUUGGAAGUCGGGGCCCCGUCUGCCGGAAGACCUGCUCGCAAGGUUGACCUCGGAUCAGGCAGGGAUACCCGCUGAACUUAAGCAUAUCAAUAAGCGGAGGA